UACGAACGCUCGCGGCAUGUCUAACACAUGCAAGUCGAACGAGAUCUUCGGGUCUAGUGGCGCACGGGUGCGUAACGCGUGGGAAUCUGCCCUUUGGUUCGGGAUAACAGUUGGAAACGACUGCUAACACCGGAUGAUUACGAAAGUCCAAAGAUUUAUCGCUAGAGGAUGAGCCCGGGUAGGAUUAGCUAGUUGGUGGGGUAAAGGCGCACCAAGGCGACGAUCCUUAGCUGGUCUGAGAGGAUGAUCAGCCACACUGGGACUGAGACACGGCCCAGAAGCCUACGGGAGGCAGCAGUGGGGAAUAUUGGAAAAUGGGGGAAAGCCUGAUCCAGCAAUGCCGCGUGAGUGAUGAAGGCCUUAGGGUUGUAAAGCUCUUUUACCCGGGAUGAUAAUGACAGUACCGGGAGAAUAAGCUCCGGCUAACUCCGUGCCAGCAGCCGCCGUAA
rnacentral:rRNA from 1 species